GAUGAAAAUGGAAAAUGUAAAGAGAAACGAAUGUGCCUAAUUUAAAAAUAUUCUAGAUGCUGUUUUGAAGCUGUACUUUGUUAUGUCAAAAUAGUGUUGUUUUGAUGCAGUUACCUGGUGUCAUUCUCCUCUAGGAAUUCUCCUAUUUGUUGAGUGGAAAUGGUGUGACUGUGAUGUGAUGUUUGUCCCAUCCUCUGGAGGCAGUGCCACACAGAGGACAGUGUGAGAGAAUGGACUCUCACUCAAAAUGCUGAUCACUGCACAGAAGCAAAGACUGGAAUCAUUUUCAGAGAAGUAAGAAUUUCAAAGUGUCCCAAAUAUGUCAGCACAGUAAAAUAAACCCUUUUUAUGAGAAAGAUAUUAAUUUCUAAAUGAAAAUAGAGAAACAACUA
rnacentral:lncRNA from 1 species